AAAGCUAGUUCAAGGGGGGAGGAGCGCCCAAGACUUAACAAGGGACACAUUACCCCAAUCCAAAACUAGUGUGGGAUAUUAAAAAUUUUCAUUUCUAAAACAUUCAUGGUACUACCAGUCUAUACAAUCUGAUACUGCAAAAUUAUGGCCAAUACCAUUAUUUAAAACCUGACUAGGAAUCAAUAUAAGAAUUUAAGAAGUAACCCUAAACACAUUAAAUACAGCCUAUUACAGCAAAACUAAAAGGCACAUAUAAAAGACUGAACCUAAAUUAAAAAAUGAAAAGGAUCUAACAAGUUAAAUUCUAUGUAUGGAAACAUAUUUUGAUAUCUAGACCAUAAUCUAAGAAGCACGACCUUUUUUCCCAAAUUUUUUCUAGUCUACACCAAGAAACACAUGAUUUAUACAAGCUAAAUAUGCAAAGAAACAGUUCAUGUAUGGAAUGUAUUUCCUGAGAUAAAAAUUUAUAUUCAACAAUACAACUGUGUAUAUACAAGCGUUAAUCUAAGAUAUUCUAGGAAAAUUAAACUAAACAACUAAAAAAUUUUAGAAACUAAUAAAAAAAAUAUGCUAAAGCCCCAGCAGAAGCAACUACAGCAAUGACAGAAACAACUUA
rnacentral:misc_RNA from 1 species